GACGAACGCUGGCGGCGUGCUUAACACAUGCAAGUCGAGCGGUAAGGCCCUUUCGGGGGUACGACGAGCGGCGAACGGGUAGGAGUAACACGUGGGUGACCUCGCCCUCCAGCUCUGGGAGUAAGCCUGGGAAACCGGGGUACUAAUACCGGAUAUGACUCCAUGACGCAUGUUGUGGGGUGGAAAGCCUUGUGCGGCUGAGGAUGGGCCCGCGGCCUAUCAGCUUGUUGGUGGGGUGAUGGCCUACCAAGGCGACGACGGGUAGCCGGCCUGAGAGGGCGACCGGCCACACUGGGACUGAGACACGGCCCAGACUCCUACGGGAGGGCAGCAGUGGGGAAUCUUGCGCAAUGGGCGAAAGCCUGACGCAGCGACGCCGCGUGAGGGAUGACGGCCU
rnacentral:rRNA from 1 species